UCCAGCUGUUUUGGGACUACAAUUCCCACCAUCCCUGACCACUGGUCCUGUUAGCUAGGGAUGAUGGGAGCUGUAGUCCCAAAAGAGCUGGA
rnacentral:miRNA from 1 species